rnacentral:misc_RNA from 1 species
CCGAGUUUACAACUCCCAAACCCCUGUGAACAUACCUAUACGUUGCCUCGGCGGAUCAGCCCGCGCCCCGUAAAAAGGGACGGCCCGCCCGAGGACCCCUAAACUCUGUUUUUAGUGGAACUUCUGAGUAUAAACAAACAAAUAAUCA